rnacentral:lncRNA from 1 species
UAAGACAUAAUGUUCAGAUCCUUAAUUAUUAUCAUUACACCUCUGAUCUUGAACAUGUUGAUGUUGUGUGAGUAGUAAUUAUAAUUAAUCAUGUAAAGUUGAUAUUCGUUCGAUAUUUUGAUGAUAUGGGUGUUGUUAAUUCUCUUAGUGGUGUCAUGGUAACGUCGAGUACAAGACACUUCACCAUGUUAUGGGCCUAAGGCAGGUCAUUGUGGACUAACAAAUUGAUGAUGGGUUGCAAGAGUGACAGAAGCUUAAACCUCAGUCUAUGCGUUGAUUCCUAAGGGGCUGAUUUGGAUCCAGAUGUCUCAUGCUAUGGUUAUUUAUCCUAAUUCUUCUUUUGUAGUUGCGGAUUCUUGCAAGAGGGGGUAAUCAUAUGUAUCUUGUUAGUUCAAGUAAGAAUAUCGCCUUAGAACUGGUCCACUGGCAUAUCAAAACAUCAAAGUAGCGAACGUGAAUAAAGUUAACAUGAUAAACAUGAGUAGAUAAAAUUCCCAUGUGCUCUCGGGAGUGCUUGCUUUAUAUAAGAGAACUUUUAGGCAUGUCCUUUGCUAUAAAAAGGAUUGGGAUACCUUUCUGCACCUUUGCUACUAUUGUUAAUGGUCAGUUGUUAUGAAUUAUCUUGCUACAAAACUAUCUAUCACUAUUACUUACACCACUUGCAG